UGAUCUGUGUAAGAAACCUAUGGGCCCAGGCUGUUAGGGCCACCAAAUGAUAUUACAAAUACUGAAUGUCUGGUUAGGAGAAACAAAUAUAAUGUACCCACAGGGAGUAGCGCCAUUUUAAUAAAAAUUGCCAAAAAUCCCUGAGAUAAGUCAUGCAGAAUAUGUUAAAAAGGUUUUUUGAUUUUCAGUCAAUCAGAAAGCAGCACGACUCAAAUAGAACUCCCGUGAGGUCACACAUGUGAUGUCAUAACCAUUGUCAUUGGUGAGGGGCCUAAACUGUAGGAACCUAGGAAUACACAUUCAUACCCGCCUGUGACUGAUGCACACCUUCCAGGCUGUGGGGCAGCACAUACACAGACACUUUGCCCAAAUUCUAGAGGUAACCUCCUUUAGUAUGCCCAGAGGAAGGGCAGUACAGUAGCCAUGGAUUCCCUACAGGUUUCCUCCCCUCUGGAGGUUUUUCCUGUCCUGAGUUAGUUACUGUCCGCUCUUUGUGAGUGAUGGAGGUUACAUAAAAUCCCUACACAAACAUUUUUGUAAAUAAUAAAUAAAGUCCCUUUUGUUUAAACUG